GACGGACCUGUGUUCCUCUGAGCUCUGUCAUGCAAUAACUAAUGUGCGUCUGAAAUGGCACCCUAUUCCCUGUAUAGUGCACUACUUUUGGCCAGCACACUGGUCAAAAGUAGUGCACUAUACAGGGAAUCGGGUGUAAUUGUGGAUGUACACUAACUGUCUUGAUGCCCUGGGCCCAGUUUUUCAAAACUUUUAAUCUGGAUAAGGAUGAUCCGGAUUCUGUAAUCCUUUUUUGCAAUCCAGGAUCAGAUUAAUCAUGUUGUUUUUGGGCCAGUUUUUCAGAAAAAAAUCGGAUAGGAUCAUUCUGAUCCACAACAUGAAGAUCACAGAAUCCAGAUUGUCAGUGCUUUCAACAGGCCUACAGACCUUUCCAUCUAGUGGACAUAUUAUGGGACUACUACACUGUCAUAGGGAAACAGAGAUGAGUAAACUACAUGAAUAAAGAAAUCCGAUCAGAUAACUUUUGAAAAACUGGGCCCAGAGACUGUGUGCCUUCCACUUUGUAACAACCAUACCUUCUGAGGGUAAAGCAGCUUCAAUCGAAA